GGGGAAUUUUCCGCAAUGGGCGAAAGCCUGACGGAGCAAUACCGCGUGAGGGAAGACUGCCUAUGGGUUGUAAACCUCUUUUUUCAGGGAGGAAUAAAAUGACGUGUACCUGAAGAAUAAGCAUCGGCUAACUCCGUGCCAGCAGCCGCGGUAAGACGGAGGGUGCAAGUGUUAUCCGGAAUCACUGGGCGUAAAGCGUCUGUAGGUGGUUUAAUAAGUCAACUGUUAAAUCUUGAGGCUCAACCUCAAAAUCGCAGUCGAAACUAUUAGACUAGAGUACAGUAGGGGUAAGGGGAAUUUCCAGUGGAGCGGCGAAAUGCGUAGAUAUUGGAAGGAACACCGAUGGCGAAGGCACUUUACUGGGCUAUUACUAACACUCAGAGACGAAAGCUAGGGUAGCAAAUGGGAUUAGAUACCCCAGUUAGUC
rnacentral:rRNA from 1 species